rfam:Lepisosteus oculatus linkage group LG5, whole genome shotgun sequence.
CCCCGAUUAGCUCCGUUGGUAGAGCAUGAGACUCAUACUCUCAGGGUAGUGGGUUCAUGUCCCACGUCGGGCA